AGAGUUUGAUCAUGGCUCAGGACGAACGCUGGCGGUGUGCUUAAGACAUGCAAGUCGUGCGGACCGUAGCAAUACGGUCAGCGGCGGACGGGUGAGUAACACGUGGAUAACCUGCCUGACUCCCCGGGAUAACAGGCCGAAAGGCCUGCUAAUACCGGGUAAGCUCACGGGACCGCAUGGUCCUGGGAGAAAAGCUCCUGCAAGGGAGUGGGGUCAGAGGGGUCCGCGGCCCAUUAGCUAGUUGGGGGGGUAACGGCCCACCAAGGCGACGAUGGGUAGCCGGCCUGAGAGGGCGACCGGCCACACUGGGACUGAGACACGGCCCAGACUCCUACGGGAGGCAGCAGUCGGGAAUUUUGGGCAAUGGCCGAAAGGGCUGACCCAGCAACACCGCGUGAGUGAAGAAGGCCUUCGGGUUGUAAAGCUCUGUUGCCCGUGAAGAACGGUACUAUCAGGAAAUGGGUAGUACUUGACGGUAGCGGGUGAGGAAGCUCCGGCUAACUACGUGCCAGCAGCCGCGGUAAUACGUAGGGAGCGAGCGUUGUCCGGAUUUAUUGGGCGUAAAGGGCGUGUAGGCGGCUUUUUAAGUCUGAAGUGAAACGCCAGGGCUCAACCCUGGAACUGCUUCGGAUACUGGGAAGCUUGAGUACUCUAGAGGGCAGUGGAAUUCCGGGUGUAGCAGUGAAAUGCGUAGAGAUCCGGAGGAACACCAGUGGCGAAGGCGACUGCCUGGGGAGAAACUGACGCUGAGGCGCGAAAGCUGGGGGAGCAAACGGGAUUAGAUACCCCGGUAGUCCCAGCCGUAAACGAUGAGUGCUAGGUGUAGGGGGUAUCGACCCCUCCUGUGCCGGAGUUAACGCAAUAAGCACUCCGCCUGGGGAGUACGGCCGCAAGGUUGAAACUCAAGGAAUUGACGG
rnacentral:rRNA from 1 species